CUUAGCGGCCAUAGCGCGGUGGUCCCACCUGAUCCCAUGCCGAACUCAGAAGUGAAACGCCGUAGCGCCGAUGGUAGUGUG
rnacentral:rRNA from 1 species